UCCGGCUUAUCACCGGCAGUCCCCUUAGAGUGCCCAACUGAAUGAUGGCAACUAAGGGCGAGGGUUGCGCUCGUUGCGGGACUUAACCCAACAUCUCACGACACGAGCUGACGACAGCCAUGCAGCACCUGUGCUGGGACUCCGAAAAGGGGCCGUGGUUUCUCACGGCUUUCCCCAGCAUGUCAAGGCCAGGUAAGGUUCUUCGCGUUGCAUCGAAUUAAUCCACAUAAUCCACCGCUUGUGCGGGUCCCCGUCAAUUCCUUUGAGUUUUAACCUUGCGGCCGUACUCCCCAGGCGGUCAACUUCACGCGUUAGCUUCGUUACCAAGGAAUUGCUUCCCCGACAACCAGUUGACAUAGUUUAGGGCGUGGACUAC
rnacentral:misc_RNA from 1 species